UUUCAAGAUUCUAAGAGCAAACGGUGGAUGCCUUGGCAUCUGGAGCCGAAGAAGGACGUAUAAAUCUGCGAUAAGCCUCGGGGAGCUGAUAAUAGAGCUUUGAUCCGAGGAUCUCCGAAUGGGGAAACCCCGCCAGGCCCUUUGGGUGACCUGGUGACUCCCGCCUGAAUAUAUAGGGCGGGUAGAGGGAACGUGGGGAAGUGAAACAUCUCAGUACCCACAGGAAGAGAAAGCAAAAGCGAUUCCGUUAGUAGUGGCGAGCGAAACCGGAAGAGGCCAAACCGAUCAUGUGUGAUAUCCGGUAGGAGUUGCAUGGUCGGGGUUGCGGGACUUUCCGUACAGUUCUACCGAGCUGUGAGGGCAAUGAGCGCGAUAUAGACGAAUGGUCUUGAAAGGCCAGUCAUAGAGGGUGCGAACCCCGUAGUCGAAAUGUCGUCGCCUGUCCGGAGAGUAUCCCAAGUAGCACGGGGCCCGAGAAAUCCCGUGUGAAUCUGUCAGGACCACCUGAUAAGCCUAAAUACUCCCAGAUGACCGAUAGCGGACAAGUACCGUGAGGGAAAGGUGAAAAGUACCCCGGGAGGGGAGUGAAAUAGUACCUGAAACCGUUUGCUUACAAACCGUUGGAGCACCCUUGUUGGUGUGACAGCGUGCCUUUUGAAGAAUGAGCCUGCGAGUUAGUGAUAUGUGGCGAGGUUAACCCGUGUGGGGCAGCCGUAGCGAAAGCGAGUCUUAAUAGGGCGUAUGAGUCGCAUGUUCUAGACCCGAAGCGAAGUGAUCUAUCCAUGGCCAGGUUGAAGCGACGGUAAGACGUCGUGGAGGACCGAACCCACUUCAGUUGAAAAUGGAGGGGAUGAGCUGUGGAUAGGGGUGAAAGGCCAAUCAAACUUCGUGAUAGCUGGUUCUCUCCGAAAUGCAUUUAGGUGCAGCGUUGCGUGUUUCUUGCCGGAGGUAGAGCUACUGGAUGGACGAUGGGCCCCAAAAGGUUACUGACUUCAGCCAAACUCCGAAUGCCGGUAAGUGAGAGCGCAGCAGUGAGACGGUGGGGGAUAAGCUUCAUCGUCGAGAGGGAAACAACCCAGACCACCAUCUAAGGUCCCUAAGCGCGUGCUAAGUGGGAAAGGAUGUGGAGUUGCAUAGACAACCAGGAGGUUGGCUUAGAAGCAGCCACCCUUGAAAGAGUGCGUAAUAGCUCACUGGUCAAGUGAUUCCGCGCCGACAAUGUAACGGGGCUCAAGCACGCCACCGAAGUUGUGGCAUUUAUAUUAUAGGCAGGCCUUCGUGGUCCAGCCGUAUGGAUGGGUAGGAGAGCGUCGUGUGGCCAGCGAAGCGGCGGUGUGAACCAGCCGUGGAGGCCACACGAGUGAGAAUGCAGGCAUGAGUAGCGAAAGACGGGUGAGAAACCCGUCCUCCGAAAGACCAAGGGUUCCAGGGCCAGGCUAAUCCGCCCUGGGUAAGUCGGGACCUAAGGCGAGGCCGACAGGCGUAGUCGAUGGACAACGGGUUGAUAUUCCCGUACCGAUGAAGAACCGCCCAAGACAAUCCAGUAAUGCUAAGUGUCUGAAUCCUUAAUUCGAUCCCUUCGGGGUGACGGUCUUGGCCUAGCACACGACCCUACGCUGGGGCGUUUAGCGUAUUAACAGGUGUGACGCAGGAAGGUAGCUGAGCCGGGCGAUGGUUGUCCCGGUCUAAGGAUGUAGGGCAGAAGAUAGGCAAAUCCGUCUUCUAUGUAGCCUGAGACCCGAUGGGUAGUCCUUACGGACGAAAUCAGUGAUCCUAUGCUGCCGAGAAAAGCAUCGACGCGAGGUUCCAAUCGCCCGUACCCCAAACCGACUCAGGUGGUCAGGUAGAGAAUACUAAGGAGAUCGAGAGAAUCGUGGUUAAGGAACUCGGCAAAAUGCCCCCGUAACUUCGGGAGAAGGGGGGCCUGAGGCGUGUAGGGAUUUACUCCUGAAGCGUUUGAAGGCCGCAGAGACCAGUGGGAAGCGACUGUUUACUAAAAACACAGGUCCGUGCUAAGUCGCAAGACGAUGUAUACGGACUGACGCCUGCCCGGUGCUGGAAGGUUAAGAGGAACGGUUAGCACGCAAGUGCGAAGCUGAGAAUUUAAGCCCCAGUAAACGGCGGUGGUAACUAUAACCAUCCUAAGGUAGCGAAAUUCCUUGUCGGGUAAGUUCCGACCUGCACGAAUGGCGUAACGACUUCCCAGCUGUCUCAACCGCGAACUCGGCGAAAUUGCACUACGAGUAAAGAUGCUCGUUACGCGCAGCAGGACGGAAAGACCCCGUGACCUUUACUACAGCUUGGUAUUGGUGUUCGGUGUGGCUUGUGUAGGAUAGGUGGGAGACUGUGAAGCUCGGACGCUAGUUCGGGUGGAGUCAUUGUUGAAAUACCACUCUGGUCACUCUGGAUAUCUAACUUCGAACCGUAAUCCGGUUCAGGGACAGUGCCUGGUGGGUAGUUUAACUGGGGCGGUUGCCUCCUAAAGAGUAACGGAGGCGCCCAAAGGUUCCCUCAACCUGGUUGGUAAUCAGGUGUCGAGUGUAAGUGCACAAGGGAGCUUGACUGUGAGACUGACAAGUCGAGCAGGGACGAAAGUCGGGACUAGUGAUCCGGCAGUGGCUUGUGGAAGCGCUGUCGCUCAACGGAUAAAAGGUACCUCGGGGAUAACAGGCUGAUCUUGCCCAAGAGUCCAUAUCGACGGCAUGGUUUGGCACCUCGAUGUCGGCUCGUCGCAUCCUGGGGCUGGAGUAGGUCCCAAGGGUUGGGCUGUUCGCCCAUUAAAGCGGUACGCGAGCUGGGUUUAGAACGUCGUGAGACAGUUCGGUCCCUAUCCGCUGCGCGCGUAGGAAAUUUGAGAAGAUCUAUCCCUAGUACGAGAGGACCGGGAUGGACGAACCUCUGGUGUGUCAGUUGUUCCGCCAGGAGCACCGCUGAUUAGCUACGUUCGGAACGGAUAACCGCUGAAAGCAUCUAAGCGGGAAGCCGGCUUCGAGAUGAGAUUUCCAUCCCUUUUAGGGUGAAGGCUCCCGGCUAGACUACCGGGUUGAUAGGCAGGAUGUGGAAGCGAGGACUAAAGACUCGUGGAGCUGACCUGUACUAAUAAGCCGAUAUCUUGAAAAC
rnacentral:rRNA from 1 species